CGUCAGCAAGUUUGCCCUCUUGUAGCGUUCACGCGACCGUACGUGCUAGUAUAAAGGUAAAACUACAUUUCCCAGCAUUCUCUGCUCCGGCAGCUUCUUUAUCCAAUGGUCAUUCGAUGCGCUCCUCUGACAACCAAUCGGACAGUAAUCUCUUAAUUCUAACGGUUAAAUACCAUGAAAAUCCCACUUACCAGCACUAUUUACUUACUUAAUUUUCCACCUCCGGAUACACAACAGUAAUGUUGUGAUUUUGAUGCAAGACACGUGUUUCACAUAGUCACGGAUUUCAAGUUUUGACACGCUCAAGAUGCUGUCAGGUGUCCGGUUGUGUGUCCGCUCGUUGUGUAGAGGUUGGUCGGUUCGCGGCAUGAGUUUAUCGCCGCGUCAGAUCAACCGAUGGCCGAGCAACGAGUCCUCCGAGCCUCCUGCGGACAGUCCUCGAGUCCUCAUCACAGGUGGCCUGGGACAGCUUGGAGUUGGACUAGCUGAAAUGCUGAGGAAGCAGUAUGGAAAGGAAAACAUCAUCCUGUCAGACAUUAGGAGGCCUCCCGCUGAAGUUUAUAGCAUGGGUCCGUUUGUAUACGCUGACGUGCUGGACUAUAAAAACCUGAGGGAGCUAGUUGUGAAUAACAGAAUCAGCUGGCUGGUGCAUUACAGUGCAUUACUCAGUGCUAUCGGGGAAGCUAACUUGGCUCUUGCCCGCACCAUCAAUAUCACAGGACUGCAUAAUGUGUUAGAUCUGGCUCUGGAGAACUGCUUGCGACUGUUUGUACCCAGUACCAUAGGAGCUUUCGGCCCUUCAUCUCCCCGUUACCCAGCACCUGACCUCUGUAUCCAGAGACCUCGCACCAUUUAUGGGGUUUCCAAAGUCCAUGCAGAGCUGAUGGGGGAAUAUCUCCAUCAUAAAUAUGGCCUGGAUUUCCGAUGCUUGCGAUACCCAGGAGUCGUUUCUGCCCACACCAAGCCAGGAGGGGGCACUACUGAUUAUGCUGUCCAGAUAUUUCAUGAUGCCCUCAGCACCGGCCACCAUGAAUGUUACUUGUGCUCCAACACUCGGCUUCCCAUGAUGCACAUUUCUGACUGUCACAGGGCCACCAUUGAGUUCAUGCAGGCCCCGGAAAGCCAACUUUCCCUGCGUACUUACAACAUCGCAGCCAUGAGCUUCACACCUGAAGAAGUGGCAGAAGAGAUUCGCAAACACCUGCCCCACCUGAGGGUCACGUACAAUCCUGAUACCAUCCGGCAGACUAUUGCGGACAGCUGGCCAGUGCGGUUUGAUGACUCUAACGCACGUCAGGACUGGGGCUGGAAGCCUGCGUACGGCCUGUCAGAGCUGGUCACAGACAUGCUGGCCUCCAUCCGUGAAAAAAGAACCAAUGCAGGACUACCUGUCAGCUAGCAGGUUUCUCAGGGACUGAUACACAGAUCACCAGCACCUUUCCAGUACAUUUCCAAACUCAUUUAUCUCAAAUUUGGUAGCUGUUUCUUUAGAUCAGGACUUUCCGUCAGUUAGAGAACUGCUGACACUGACAGUUCUCUAAAUAUGUAUGCUUGUGAAGAAAACAUGUUAACCAACAGUGAAAACUCACAUUCUCUCACCGCUCAGGAGACUGUCGUUCUUCUCUGUGAUCUGUUCUCACAUAGUUUUUAAGUUGUCAUGGGACAGGGGAAAACAAGGAAACAACAAAAUUCUGAUGAAUACAGUAUAAUAAUAAUAAUAUCAUUGCGCACUUUAGAGAUGAAACUGUCCAAUUUAAUUAUUUUAGAGACAUCAUACACUAUAUUAAAAUAACAAGGUCAGCACUGAGAAAAAUUCUGGCUGGCCCAAACUUCAAUGAUCUGAUGUUAUAAUUAAAACUCUGCUUUCCUAAUCUUAACCAAUCAUGACAUUCUGUUUGGGAGGGGUUGAAUUUUGACCCCACAAAUGCUCCAUUUCUACAAAUACAGUAAGGACCACUAGACACCUCGCUCUGUGCUCUAGUCUAGACCACUCCAUGUAUUGUGUACAAGAGGAAGUGUCUCAGUUUGAACACAGCCAUGGGCAGAAAAUACUUUAAACCACUACUACCUUUAGUGGAAGGUAUUGCCUUUGUUCCAGCUGCGAUCGCUGAAGAAAUCACAGUUGCCUGAAUUUUGGGUUCUGUUAAACCCACUAUUGUCUGCAUUGGCUAUUUAUUUAGAGUCCGUUAUCAAAGGGCUCUGGGUUCACAAUGCAUAGUUUGGUGGUGUGAAUUAAGUACUUAAUCACUCAGCAUUGCUGAUGUAUUAUUAUACACUAAGAGUUUUUUUUUUUUACACAUUUUUUGUUAACUCAGAAGAGCAAAACUACUGGAUAAAACACCCAAAGCCUUGCAGGAGUAAAGGGGGUGUUCUUUGGCUUUGGCCCCUCUGAAAGUCUUUAGUAUGCCUUCUGUAUAGGCUACUGGUGCAGACAAAUAAAAAUGACUAAUCAAUAUAUAAGAUGUUUAAGAUAUAUAAGACGAUAUAUACAAUGACUCACCUUUCUUCCAAAAGCAAGUGUGAUUUCAGUGUUAAAAGUUGAAACUGCAUUAAUUUUCACUUAUCAUUUAACCUCAAAAGUUGUUAAUGAAUCUCAAAAAGAACUGGUGGAAAAUUGCAGUGUAUGUCAAAUAAAUGGCUUUAAUACAGCAAACAGUUUAUGUAUGUCUUUGUUCAUUGUGACCUCUGCAG